UGUGGUGACUCACCUGCCCUUUAAAUGAUGAC
rnacentral:piRNA from 1 species